UAAGUAAAUAACUAAACAAAGUUAAAACAUUCAAUUUCGGAGGGAAGCAUUACUAUUUUAUUUGGUUAAAUUCAUUGCAUCCCUUUCAUCCAUCACUCGCUUAAUGCACCCCCUAAACAGUUUUUUAGCACGCUUAAAAACAUAGAUAUUUAAUUUUUUAAAUGGGAUAUUUUUUAUUUGAAAUGGUAAAAGUUUUAUUGAUAGAAUGUACCAAGAUGGUACAAGUAGUAGAAUGACAAAGGUAAUGCAGAUCAGAACAUAAUAUAAAGAUUACAUCUACCGUCUGCCCCCUAGCAAGUCCAAGAAAUCCAUAUACUCAUUUGUGCUACCAAUAAGACUACCAUUACACCAUAAGAAAAGAUUCUGCAAACACUUGUUCUUAAUUCUAGAAAUAUGGUCUCUUUAUUCCAGCAAUACUCUUAACCCCUUUGCUGUUCACUUCCAUGAUUCUCCUAGCUCCCCUCUUCGUGCAAUAACCAAUUGCCCAUAUCAAAACCUUCCAUUGGUGUACUUUUAAGUUCCCCUGCGACUGCAUUAUUUCUAUAAUUAUUUGCAACACUACUAUAUUAGUAUUAGAAAACUUGUGAAAACAUUGUUGAAGUUGAAUGUCGAGUACCUAGAUGUUAAUGGUUUUUUAUUGUAUUCAAAAUGAUUGUGGGAGAUUGAGUUGGUCUUAGAAGGGCAGUCGCUUAAAGGGGACAAUUAGGUGAAGAAAUGGAGGUAUCAUUCUUAUAACGGGCAAUGAAGUGAGAGGUCCCAUGGUGUCAAAGUUAAGCAUGACGAGAGGGGUUAUAUUUUAGCGCGAAGAGGGGGCACUAGUAUUAUAGAAUUUAUGAAAACAUUGUUAAAGUUGAAUGUUGAGUACCUAGUUGUUAAUGUUUUUGAUUGUAUUUAAAGUGAUUGUGGGAGAUUGAGUUGGUCUUAGAAAGGCGGUCGUUUAAAGGGGACAAUUAGGUUGAGAUGGAGAAAUCAUUCUUUUACAGGGUAUGAAGUGGGAGGUCCCAUGGUGUCAAAGUUAAGCAUGACGACAGGGGUUAUAUUUGACGGCGAAGAGGGGGGAUUAUAAGGUUUACCACAUGAGGAAGGAGCAGAAUGUUUGGGGAAGGAUGAUUGUAGUAUUGGGAGAAGGAGGGUGACUGCUGCUUCUGCCUGCUUUGGCUGGCAGAGGGGAAGAGGGAAAGUAGCGUGCUUGUUUGAGGGUGGA
rnacentral:lncRNA from 1 species